CGCGCACGUAGGACACCAGGUUGCGGUCGCGGCCGCUGCGCUCGGCCUCGCGCGCGGCGGCGUUGAAAUCGACGAUGCUCGGC
rnacentral:tRNA from 1 species